rnacentral:tRNA from 1 species
ACCUGGCUAGCUCAUUCGGUAGAGCAUGAGACUCUUAAUUUAAGGGUCGUGGGCUCGAGUCCCACAUUUGGUG